rnacentral:rRNA from 1 species
GAUCCUGGCUCAGGGCGAACGCUGGCGGCGCGCCUAACACAUGCAAGUCGAACGAGAGAGAAGGAGCUUGCUUCUUCGAUCGAGUGGCGAACGGGUGAGUAACGCGUGAGGAACCUGCCUCAAAGAGGGGGACAACAGUUGGAAACGACUGCUAAUACCGCAUAAGCCCACGGGUCGGCAUCGACCUGAGGGAAAAGGAGUAAUCCGCUUUGAGAUGGCCUCGCGUCCGAUUAGCUAGUUGGCGGGG